UAUAUCCGUGCAUGAGCACGAAAAAAUCACCUAGUAAAUAAAUUAAAAAGAUAAAAGAAAAAUGAAACCAAGUCUAGUUAGAAAAGUUAAACCAAAAGGAGCUUCAACCACCACCGCCUUCAGCCGCCACCUCCGGAGAUGCUCCACCAGCCAUUUUCCGCCUUCACACACACACACAUUAUAAAAUAAAAACAAGAAAGUAAUAAAAUUUUCAACAAGAUGGGACAAGUUAACACUUUUAAGGUGAUGACUUCAAGUCUAAGCACCCCACAAUACGCCUCAUGAGUAGUUGGCUCUGCAAGAGAUCAUUGGAACCAAACGUGAAUUUUGAUGUCUUUUUGAUGAGAGAAAAAAAAAAAGACAUUAAUUCACUUUCACAGCGAAACAGUACAUGGUCAUGGCCGAUCAAGAGAAAAAGUUGGUGCAAUUGCAAUAUCAAAAUAUAAAGCAAACUACUUUAUUGUUCUAAAAGUAGAAAUUUCACAUUUAGUUAAACCUACCAGAGGACCCAUUCAUGUUCAAAAGUUAAAAGCUUUGAAAACGGAGAAAGAUUAUAUGAAAGAGUAGUGACCUUACACCAAACAGUUUCAUAUCAAAUGCUCAAGCAUGGUUUUCAAGAAAAUGACUCAGGAGAUUUGAUUUGAUCUCUCUGUUCUUCAACUGCCGCAGAUACUCAACCAUAAGAGCUUACAGAAGCUUGCGUUAUGGUAAGCCUUAUGCUACAUACCUGGAAUCCUGUAAACAUCACACUCGGGUCACAUGUCUGGGUCAAGGAUCCAUAACUUGCAUGGACUAAUCGAGAAGUGACAGAAAUCAAAGGCACUAAUGCAACAAUACUCACUGCAGAUGGGAAAACAAUUGUUGCUAGUAUCUCUAGCCUCUAUCCAAAGAAUACAGAGGCGCCACCUGCAGGAGUUGAUGACAUGACUAAACUGGCUUACCUCCAUCAGCCAGAGGUCCUCCACAAUCUUGCUUGCUGGUUAUCACUAAAUGAGAUAUAUACUUAAAAUGGAAACAUCUUGAUUGCUGUGAAUCCAUUCCAAAGACCUCCACAUUUGUAUAGCGUCCAUAUGAUGGAGCAGUAUAAAGGAGCUGCGUUUGGAGAGCUAAGCCCACAUCUGUUUGCCGGUUGCAGACACCAGUUAUAGGCGAUGAUAAAUGAGGCAAAGAGCAAGUCUAUUUUGGUUAGUGGAGAGAGUGGAGCUGGGAAGACGGAGACAACCAAAAAGCUCAUGAGAUAUCUUGCAUUCAUGGGAGGCAGAUAAGAUACAUAAGAGAGAAAAGUGUUCGACAAGUUGUUCUAGAGGUGAGUAUUACUUGCUCUGUUUAUUUUUAAAUGACUAGGAGAUUUUGGGCCUGGGGCUAGGCAUAUUCCA